CAGCAAUAACAGCAGAUGCCAUCUUAGAUUAAUGAAAGUCUUCAAAAGUAUACCAUCAAUCACUGAACAUGUGCAUGAAGUGACCUUCAUGUCCAUUUUUUGUUCUACAUAAUUUUCCUCUCCUUGGACAAAUUUUUCAAGAGCAAACUGGGGAUGUAGCAUUGACCCAGCCUGCUCAAUGUGCAGGACUCAUGCCUGCAAGCACCGGGACUCCUAAGAAUUAUCACUGUGCGUUUCUGUGUCAUAUCAGCAAGCUCAUCUGCAGAAAUACAUUCUGACUGAGUAACCCUGAGAUGGUGUCAGAAGUGGGAUCCAAAGUAGA
rnacentral:lncRNA from 13 species